CUCUGGAGGAAUAACGGGCGCUUAAAACGGAGGUAGACCGGACAAGAGCUAAAAAGCCGGGUCAACAUAAACCAUGGGGGACGCUUGGGGAUCUUGGUGACCCUGUAACCUUUCUGCUGGACAGGUAAACCGCUUUAACAAAGUAAGACAAGUGUCUGUAACAGAAGUGUUCUUGUCAAACGGACCUGCUGUAGCGUGUUGUAGCGCCAUCGCUAAACUGUCCUCCCUCGGGUCCUGGACUAUGUCACUUUAUCCUCGUUGUAGAAGUCCUGCAAACAUUGUGUUUGCUGGUAGUCUGUUGGCAUCUACAGUAGCACCAAUGCUUUUGACUUUCACCUUGACUGGGCCCCAUUUGUAAUGAUCUGAAGGAUUUAUCUGCAUUAUAUCUGAAUUUAAUUGGAACGAUACGAGCGAGCAGGAGCGUCUGUUUGUGGGCGGGGCUUGCUGGAGCAGAGAGGGAGGGGAGAGAGCGAGAUAGAGAGAGAGAGAGAGAGAGUGUUUCUCUGUGUUGUCUCUUUAACUCUGUGGCUCUAAAACAGUUGAAGUGUGUUUCUGCUCGAUGAGGUUUCUAUGAGGUGAAUAAAUGUUGGUUCAGUUGAUCUUCAGGACGGCUGCAGCUUUAAGAACUUCUGCUUGUUGGAGUUUGAGAGUCUAAAGUUCACAGAGACGCUCCUCAUCCUGGAUUAUAGACAAACUGGAUCCCCCCCCCUCCCUCGUCUCUCACAGCUCACUCCACUCUGCACUCUCACUUCCUUGUUCCCUUCCUUCCUCCCUCCCCCUCAUAUCUACAGCCUAAAGGUUGGGUCUAAAGGUUGACUUGAUCCUGCUGACUCACACAUGUUGUUGAGAUCAGAGCUCAGACUAGUUUGACUUCUCAGGAAAUAAAACUCAGUCAGUCGUCGUCGACAGCGAGUGUUGAAAUGGCGCAGAAAGGAGUUCAUCUGGACCGUGAGUCUCUCUCUUGUUCCAUCUGUUUGGAUCUUCUGAAGGAUCCGGUGACUGUCACCUGUGGACACAGCUUCUGCAUGAGCUGUAUUCAAUCCUACUGGGAUACUGAGGAUGAGAAGAAGAUCUACAGCUGUCCUCAGUGCAGAGAGACCUUCAGACCGAGGCCUGUCCCAAUAAAAAACAUCAUGUUAGCAGGUUUAGUGGAGGAAGUGAAGAAGAGCGGACUCCAAGCUGCUCCUGGUGGUUCCUCUGAGGCUGGACCUGAAGAUGUGGCCUGUGAUUUCUGCAGUGGGAGAAAACUGAAAGCUGUCAAGUCCUGUCUUCAAUGUCUGGCUUCUUACUGUCAGAUUCACCUCCAGCCUCAUUUUGAAGUUACUCCAUUAAAGAAACACAAGCUGGUGGAGCCCUCCAAGAAGCUCCAGGAGAACAUCUGCUCUCGUCAUGAUGAGGUGAUGAAGAUGUUCUGCCGCACUGAUCAGAAGUCCAUCUGUCAUCUCUGCUGUUUGGACCAACACAAAGGUCACGACACAGUCUCAGCUGCAUCAGAAAGGACUGAGAGGCAGAAAGAUCUGGAGGAGAGUCGAGGAAACAUCCAGCAGAGAAUCCAGGACAGAGAAGAAGAUGUGAAGCUGCUCCAACAGGAGGUGGAGGCUAUCAACGGCUCUGCUGAUAAAGCUGUGGACCACAGCCAGGAGAUCUUCAGCCAGCUGAUCCGUCUGAUGGAGAAACGCCGCUCUGAGGUGGAGCAGCAGGUCAGAUCCCAGCAGGAACGUGAAGUGAGUCGAGUCAAAGAGCUUCAGGAGAAACUGGAGCAGGAGAUCACUGAGCUGAAGAGGAAAGACGCUGAUCUGCAGAAGCUCUCACUCACAGAGGACCACAACCAGUUUCUGCACAGCUACCCCUCACUGUCAGAACCGGGUCAACCUGCAGACUCAUCCAGGAUCAACAUCCGUCCUCUGAGAUACUUUGAGGAGGUGACAGCAGCUGUCUCAGAGCUCAGAGAGAAACUCCAGGAUCUUCUGACAGAGACGUGGACAAACGUCUCACAGGCCGUGACUGAAGUGGAUGUUUUACUGUCAGAACCACCAGGACCAGAACCAGAACCAGAACCCAAGACCAGAGCUGGUUUCUUAAGAUAUUCACAAAGAAUCACACUGGAUCCAAACACAGCAUGCAGAGGGCUGAAAUUAUCUGAUGGAAACAGAAGAGCAACAUUUACAAAACAACGACAGUCUUAUCCUGAUCAUCCAGACAGAUUCACUAAUUAUGUUCAGGUCCUGAGUAGAGAGAGUCUGACUGGACGUUGUUACUGGGAGGUGGACUGGAGAGGGGACAGGGUUGGUGUAGCAGUCGCAUACAAGACUAUCAGGAGAGACGGGAGAUCAGAGGAUUGUAAAUUUGGAGAAAAUGACAAAUCUUGGAUGUUACUCUGUUAUAAAGACAGGUAUAGAUUUGUUCACAACAAAGUCUUCACUCCUGUCUCAGGUCCUCUGUCCUCCAGAGUAGGAGUGUACCUGGAUCACAGAGCAGGUAUUCUGUCCUUCUACAGCGUCUCUGAAACCAUGACUCUCCUCCACAGAGUCCAGACCACAUUCACUGAACCUCUACAUGCUGGACUCUCAACUUUAGACUCUGCUGAGUUUAUAGAAGUGAACUAAAGAGAAUUUUGAGUCCAUCAGACCAAAAUCAUGGACUGAGAUCCUUGAACUCUUGAAAUGUUCUGGUUUGUAAAUGUUUGUGGAUCAGUCUCACCAAAAACUCUGGGUUUAGUUCUUCAUUUCAGCUUUUUGAUUCUUUUCUAAAGAUGCUGAUUUGGUCGCAGCUUUAAGGACAGUGAUUGUGGAGAACUUUGAUUGUUUGUAUUUCUCAUGUUGAAAAAUCUUCAUCAAGUUUGAUAUCAACAACAUCAAGAUGAUGGUUUGUUCAAAUCACCUUCAGUUGGUGCAGAUGUUGAAGGUCUGAGACUUUAGAAAAAAGUGAGGUCAAAAUCACAGAAAAAGGACGACCUUAUUUCCUGUCCCAAAUCCAAGCGUCUAAAGUCUUUCCAGUCGUCCCCAAAAACUCUUCAGAUGAUCUGUUUCUUUCUCUGUUUGCUGAAUAUUUGUGUUCAUGUGAUCGAUGGAUAUUUCUGUCUGCUUCUGUUGGAUCAGUGUGUUUGUAAAGACAUCUAGAAUCAGACUUUGGACAGAUCUACAUGUUGUUAUGAGCUUUUCAAUCACUCUAAUAAUAAUAAUCACAUUUAUUAGUCCGACUGUUUGGAUGUUUCUGACUCAGCUCAGAUUGUGGUCAAGUCUCUGAUUGUGGGUAAAAAAAUCAUAAAAAUCCUCAAACUGAGUCACUGAAAUCACCUCGUCUGUUUGUCUUUAUUGUGUCUGUUUCUGCUGGAUGUCAUGUUACCGCUCCGUCUGGGUCAUGGAUCCAUGUGGUCUUACAUGUCCCAGAUGUGAGUCCUGCAGCUGGAUCAGGUUUUCUGUAGAGGACAAAGACAGGAGGCAGGUUGUGUGUCUUUUUGAUUUGAUGUAACCAGACUAGUCCUGUUGAGAUCAUCAAUCUCUUUUUCAGGGGGGGUCCUGACCAAGAAUGGCAGCAAAAAACAAACACACUCAGACUCACACAGAUCCACAUCAGCAACAAGAACUCAGAGUUCAUAUGAGAGAGUCCAGCUGAUCUCUAGUCUAAGGAAAGAAGUCUGGUCCUCAAGAAGAAAACCGACUUAAAGGUGAAGUAGACAGGAAUCUGUUAAAGAAGCAUCUUUUUAUUUUGUGGUUUUUAUACAAAAAUCUUUUAAUAUCAGUCAAUAGUUAUUAGUUAUUGAUGACAUUUGGUAAUAUAUCGAUAUCUCUGUGUUCUCUUAUGUCUGUGUCGUCAACAUUUGAACAUUUUUGAGCGGUCCGCUCUUUCUGACUGUAAACAAAGCCGUUCUCCACCUCCUCUAACCUGAUUGGUUGUGCGGCAGACGCUGCUCCCCCGUGUCGUUCAGGAGCCCAAACAAAGUUAGCGUGCUACAAUAUCGGACAGUAGAAACCAACCAGAAAGUUCGGAAAAUUGUCUGAAUCCUCCUUUGGCCACGACUGCCGACACAAGCAAGAAAACAAAGUAAAUACCGGAGACUCUGGAGGAAUAACGGGCGCUUAAAACGGAGGUAGACCGGACAAGAGCUAAAAAGCCAGGUCAACAUAAACCAUGGGGGACGCUUGGGGAUCUUGGUGACCCUGUAACCUUUCUGCUGGACAGGUAAACC